CGUAGUUGUGAAACAACUUCAACAAGAACUGGCUGAUACUCUGAAGAAACAGUCUAUGUCAGAGGCUUCCCCAGAAGUUACAUCAUAAAUUCUUCUAGAAGAUGAAACACGGGAUCUCAAGAAGAAAUUAGGUCAAAUCAGAAGUCUGUUGCAGGAAGGACAGGAACGACAUGCAGAGGCCGUAAGAUAUACUGAGGAGAUGAAAGAUCAUGUGCAAAAGCUACAGGUUAAAAAUGCCACGGAAGAAGCAACCAGCAAACAUCAAGUGGCCCAAAUUCAAGAUCUUGAGAGCAACGUGAUAAAGAC